rnacentral:rRNA from 1 species
UACGAAGGGUGCGAGCGUUGUUCGGAAUUACUGGGCGUAAAGGGUUUGUAGGCUGAAAUGUAAGUCAAGUGUGAAAUCCCCGAGCUAAACUUGGGACGUGCAUUUGAAACUGUGUUUCUUGAGUAUCGUAGAGGGUGGUGGAAUUGUAGGUGUAGGAGUGACAUCCGUAGAGAUCUGCAGGAACAUCAGAGGCGAAGGCGACCACCUGGCCG